rnacentral:rRNA from 1 species
GUGCCAGCAGCCGCGGUAAUACGUAGGGGGCAAGCGUUGUCCGGAAUUAUUGGGCGUAAAGCGCGCGCAGGCGGUCAUUUAAGUCUGGUGUUUAAGGCCAAGGCUCAACCUUGGUUCGCACUGGAAACUGGGUGACUUGAGUGCAGAAGAGGAGAGUGGAAUUCCACGUGUAGCGGUGAAAUGCGUAGAUAUGUGGAGGAACACCAGUGGCGAAGGCGACUCUCUGGGCUGUAACUGACGCUGAGGCGCGAAAGCGUGGGGAGCAAACAGGAUUAGAUACCCUGGUAGUCC